GACAAGUCCCAGCCUCCGCUCCGCUCCGGCGGGCAGCACCUACCUGAUCCCCGGGAACCGGAGUCCGGCGGCGGCAGUCACGUAAUGAUCGGGUAUCAGAAAAAGACGUCAGCAUCCUAGUCCCUCAAGGAACAUAUUAACUAUCCCCUGCUGUCCUCUUGGAUGAGAUCCGGAGUCAUCGACUUCUCAUAAACACCUUUCACUCAUACUGUACAAUUUUAAAGGAAUUUAAUUACCUUGAUGGUUUUCAGUUUUGCCCACUUCUGAAGGAUGGGUAAAGAAUUCAUAGAAUCUUGAGAAUGGUUGGUUUUUUUUUUUUUUAAUGUUUUUAACUAUGUCUCUCUUGUUUUCUUUUUGCUUUUUCAUCAAGCCCCAGCAAUCAGAGCUCUGGGCUCUGGAAUUAAAGCACCAUCAAGCUCUCCUAUUAAUAAAUUUAAUUUAGAUCUCCUAA